ACUCAAAGGAAUUGACGGGGGCCCGCACAAGCGGAGGAACAUGUGGUUUAAUUCGAUGAUACGCGAGGAACCUUACCCGGGCUCGAACGGCUAAUGCAUAUAUAUGAAAGUAUAUAGUCGCAAGACAUUAGUCGAGGUGCUGCAUGGUUGUCGUCAGCUCGUGCCGUGAGGUGUCGGCUUAAGUGCCAUAACGAGCGCAACCCUUAUUUUCAGUUACCAUCAGGUAGAGCUGGGGACUCUGGAAAGACUGCCGCCGUAAGGUGAGAGGAAGGUGGGGAUGACGUCAAAUCAGCACGGCCCUUACGUCCGGGGCGACACACGUGUUACAAUGGGGGGGACAGCUGGCUGCUACCCGGCGACGGGGCGCCAAUCCUCAAACCCUCUCCCAGUUCGGAUCGAAGUCUGCAACCCGACUUCGUGAAGCCGGAUUCGCUAGUAAUCGCGCAUCAGCCAUGGCGCGGUGAAUACGUUCCCGGGCCUUGUACACACCGCCCGU
rnacentral:rRNA from 1 species